rnacentral:rRNA from 1 species
GAUGAACGCUGGCGGCGUGCCUAAUACAUGCAAGUCGAGCGAACGGACGAGAAGCUUGCUUCUCUGAUGUUAGCGGCGGACGGGUGAGUAACACGUGGAUAACCUACCUAUAAGACUGGGAUAACUUCGGGAAACCGGAUCUAAUACCGGAUAAUAUUUUGAACCGCAUGGUUCAAAAGUGAAAGACGGUCUUGCUGUCACUUAUAGAUGGAUCCGCGCUGCAUUAGCUAGUUGGUAAGGUAACGGCUUACCAAGGCAACGAUGCAUAGCCGACCUGAGAGGGUGAUCGGCCACACUGGAACUGAGACACGGUCCAGACUCCUACGGGAGGCAGCAGUAGGGAAUCUUCCGCAAGGGGCGAAAGCCUGACGGAGCAACGCCGCGGGAGUGAUGAAGGUCUUCGGAUCGUAAAACUCUGUUAUUAGGGAAGAACAUAUGUGUAAGUAACUGUGCACAUCUUGACGGUACCUAAUCAGAAAGCCACGGCUAACUACGUG